rnacentral:lncRNA from 14 species
CACCCUUGGACUUCUCUCUCCUUCCUGCUUCCUCUCUCUGGUGGAGGAUCUCACUGCCCAAGUCACUAGGAAGAGACCCUGUGAGCACCAAGAGCAGCAGCAGCAGUGUAACGGGACCAGCUGGGA